rnacentral:rRNA from 1 species
ACGGAAGGCAGCAGUGGGGAAUAUUGCGCAAUGGGGGAAACCCUGAUGCAGCGAUGCCGCGUGGAGGAAGAAGGUCUUCGGAUUGUAAACUCCUGUCUUAAAGGACGAUAAUGACGGUACCUUAGGAGGAAGCUCCGGCUAACUACGUGCCAGCAGCCGCGGUAAUACGUAGGGAGCGAGCGUUAUCCGGAAUUACUGGGUGUAAAGGGAGCGUAGGCGGGACUGCAAGUCAGAUGUGAAAUGCCGGGGCUUAACCCCGGAGCUGCAUUUGAAACUGUGGUUCUUGAGUGAAGGAGAGGCAAGCGGAAUUCCCGGUGUAGCGGUGAAAUGCGUAGAUAUCAGGAGGAACACCAGUGGCGAAGGCGGCUUGCUGGGCUUUUACUGACGCUGAGGCUCGAAAGCGUGGGUAGCAAACAGGAUUAGAUACCCUGGUA